AUUGAACGCUGGCGGCAUGCUUUACACAUGCAAGUCGAACGGUAACAGGUUAAGCUGACGAGUGGCGAACGGGUGAGUAAUGCAUCGGAACGUGCCCGAUCGUGGGGGAUAACGCAGCGAAAGCUGCGCUAAUACCGCAUACGAUCUGAGGAUGAAAGCGGGGGACCGUAAGGCCUCGCGCGAUCGGAGCGGCCGAUGUCAGAUUAGGUAGUUGGUGGGGUAAAGGCUCACCAAGCCAACGAUCUGUAGCUGGUCUGAGAGGACGACCAGCCACACUGGGACUGAGACACGGCCCAGACUCCUACGGGAGGCAGCAGGGGGGAAUUUUGGACAAUGGGCGAAAGCCUGAUCCAGCGAUGCCGCGUGCAGGAAGAAGGCCUUCGGGUUGUAAACUGCUUUUGUACGGAGCGAAAAGGCUCUCUCUAAUACAGGGGGCUCAUGACGGUACCGUAAGAAUAAGCACCGGCUAACUACGUGCCAGCAGCCGCCGUAA
rnacentral:rRNA from 1 species